rnacentral:rRNA from 1 species
GAUGAACGCUGGCGGCGUGCUUAACACAUGCAAGUCGAACGAUGAAGCCCAGCCUGCUGGGCGGAUUAGUGGCGAACGGGUGAGUAACACGUGAGUAACCUGCCCUUGACUCUGGGAUAAGCCCGGGAAACUGGGUCUAAUACCGGAUAGGAGCGCCUGUCGCAUGACGGGUGCUGGAAAGAUUUUUCGGUCAUGGAUGGACUCGCGGCCUAUCAGCUUGUUGGUGAGGUAACGGCUCACCAAGGCGACGACGGGUAGCCGGCCUGAGAGGGUGACCGGCCACACUGGGACUGAGACACGGCCCAGACUCCUACGGGAGGCAGCAGUGGGGAAUAUUGCACAAUGGGCGGAAGCCCGAUGCAGCGACGCCGCGUGAGGGAUGACGGCCUUCGGGUUGUAAACCUCUUUCAGUAGGGAAGAAGCGAAAGUGACGUACCUGCAGA